rnacentral:rRNA from 1 species
GAUGAACGCUGGCGGCGUGCCUAAUACAUGCAAGCCGAGCGAACGGACGAGAAGCUUGCUUCUCUGAUGUUAGCGGCGGACGGGUGAGUAACACGUGGAUAACCUACCUAUAAGACUGGGAUAACUUCGGGAAACCGGAGCUAAUACCGGAUGAUAUUUUGAACCGCAUGGUUCAAAAGUGAAAGACGGUCUUGCUGUCACUUAUAGAUGGAUCCGCGCUGCAUUAGCUAGUUGGUAAGGUAACGGCUUACCAAGGCAACGAUGCAUAGCCGACCUGAGAGGGUGAUCGGCCACACUGGAACUGAGACACGGUCCAGACUCCUACGGGAGGCAGCAGUAGGGAAUCUUCCGCAGUGGGCGAAAGCCUGACGGAGCAACGCCGCGUGAGUGAUGAAGGUCUUCGGAUCGUAAAACUCUGUUAUUAGGGAAGAACAUAUGUGUAAGUAACUGUGCACAUCUUGACGGUACCUAAUCAGAAAGCCACGGCUAACUACGU